rnacentral:rRNA from 1 species
UACGUAGGGUGCGAGCGUUGUCCGGAAUUAUUGGGCGUAAAGAGCUCGUAGGCGGCUUGUCGCGUCGGAUGUGAAAGCCCGGGGCUUAACUCCGGGUCUGCAUUCGAUACGGGCAGGCUAGAGUUCGGUAGGGGAGAUCGGAAUUCCUGGUGUAGCGGUGAAAUGCGCAGAUAUCAGGAAGAACACCCGUGGCGAAGGCGGCUCUCUGGGACGGUACUGACGCUGAAGACGCGGAAAGCGUGGGGAGCGAACAGG